rnacentral:rRNA from 1 species
UACGUAUGGUGCAAGCGUUAUCCGGAUUUACUGGGUGUAAAGGGAGCGUAGACGGAGGGGCAAGUCUGAUGUGAAAACCCGGGGCUCAACCCCGGGACUGCAUUGGAAACUGUCAAUCUAGAGUACCGGAGAGGUAAGCGGAAUUCCUAGUGUAGCGGUGAAAUGCGUAGAUAUUAGGAGGAACACCAGUGGCGAAGGCGGCUUACUGGACGGUAACUGACGUUGAGGCUCGAAAGCGUGGGGAGCAAACAGG